rnacentral:rRNA from 1 species
AAAUUGAAGAGUUUGAUCAUGGCUCAGAUUGAACGCUGGCGGCAGGCCUAACACAUGCAAGUCGAACGGUAGCACAGAGAGCUUGCUCUCGGGUGACGAGUGGCGGACGGGUGAGUAAUGCCUGGGAAACUGCCUGAUGGAGGGGGAUAACUACUGGAAACGGUGGCUAAUACCGCAUAACGUCGCAAGACCAAAGAGGGGGACCUUCGGGCCUCUUGCCAUCAGAUGUGCCCAGAUGGGAUUAGCU